UUGUGAUUUUUACUGUGUAAAUUAUUUGUUAAAACAAUUUGUUGCAUUCAAUGCAACAAUUAACAGUGACAAUUUAGCAACAGUUUUGUGCUUUUUACGGUGUAAACUUAAAACCAUUUGUUGAAUUCAAUGCAACAAUUAACAGCAACAGUUUAAAGAUUUUUUAUUUUUAUGGUGUAAAUUUCGUUAAAACCAAUUGUUGCAUUCAAUGCAACAAUUAACGUAAAGUGACAAUUUAGCAACAAUUUAGUGAUUUUUAUGGUGUAAAUUGUUUGUGAAAAUCAUUUGUUGUAUUCCAUGCAACAAUUAACAUAAAUCGAUAAUUUAGUGACAGUUAAGUGAUUUUUAUGGUGUACAUUUUGUUAAAACCAUUUGUUGUAUUCAAUACAACAAUUAACGUAAAGCAACAAUUAACGACAGUUUAAUGAUUUUAAAGGUGUAAAUUUUGUUAAAACCAUUUGUUGCAUUCUUUGCAACAAUUAAUGAAAACCGACAAUUUAGCAAAAGUUCAGUGAUUUUUAAGAUAUAAAAUGUUUGUUGAAUGCAACAAAUGGUUUUAAUUGCAACAAUUAACGUAAAGCAACAAUUUAAUGUCAGGUUAGUGAAUUUCAUGGUUUAACUUGUUUGUUAAAACCAUUUGUUGCAUUCAAUGCAGCAAUUAACGUAAUGCGUCAAUUUAGCAACAGUUUAGUAAUUUUUACAGUAUGAAAUGUUUGUUUAGAUCAUUUGUUGCAUUCAAUGCAACAAUUCACAUAAAGCAACAAUUUAGAGGCAGUUUAUCGAUUUUUACAGUGUAAAUUGUUCAUUAAACCCAUUUGUUGAUUUACAUACAAAUUUAAGGUCCAAUAUGUUUCAAGUUCCUAAGUAAAGUCAUCGUCUAGUUUUGUUAACGCAAAUUUGAACACAUUUCACUUUUUUUUUUUCUCGAAGUUUUCGUAAAGCCAUAUUUCCAAUGUUUCAUUAGUUGACCAACUAGUCAAUCAACAUCAAUUUAUAGCAAUGAUCGACUUCCAUUACAGCCUCAUUUUCAGCAGCGUUAAAUUAAAUAUGUCAUCCACUAAGAUCCACUGAAAAGUUUCAUCGUGUCUUUUACAAUUAACAUAUAUAUACAGUAAUGAUGAAGUAUGUACAGUAGCCGAAGGGUAGUAACACUUCACAGUGAGCAUCGUGUCGGGCACUUUGAACCGUCGACUUAAUGUGUAUUCAUUGUAGACCUUGUAGACCGUCCUGAGGAUGUAGCUACAGCAGAAGAAUCGGACGACCCUGUUAAUUCGGAAAGUAGCGUUCUUUAUGUUUACACCCAAAGCACAUUUCAAGGUAUACAUGGCACAUGCGUUCCCUGGGAAUCGAACCCAUGACAGUAUUAGCGAAAUUAGCUACAGGGUUGGAUUCGGGCCACAGGUUGGGCUAAGGCAGGUGGCGUCUUUCGGUCAUGUGACUACACCAGGGCGUAGUCAAACUGGCCCCGCUCGAAGCCAUCCUUAUGAUCGGUCCAAGACGAAGAGGGCAUUUGGCUGUAGGGGUCCAGCAAGAUCCGGAAGCAACGCACCAACAGGAAAAUCAAAAACAGCAUCAGGAGACCCACAAACGCAAAGGCCGUCCUUUGCUCGGCAUCGCCGCCAAGAGGUGGGCUGCUGGGGACCCCUGCGAACGACGGCCCCAGUGAGAGCAGCUCAUAGUCCAACGUGGACACAUCGCUCAUCCUCCAGGAAGCGCGACGACAGAACUUGCAAGCUGUCGUAAGGGUAGAUUGGAUGGAGAGAUUGGCCAGAUUGGUGUGGCGACCUCGAUGUGGACAAAUGAGGCCAAAGUCAACACUUUUGACUGUGUGACGGACACGCAAAGUGACACAAGUGGAGCAAUCCGGGUCAAAAUGACAGGCCUUUUUAUUCCAGACCUGUCAAAUCGGAUCUGACCCGCAAGUGGCACGGCGCAAGCCGAUGGGACAUGACACAGCGGGCUGCCACAACAGAUAAAAACAGCAAGGACUCGAGUCACACGCUCGUUUCUUUUGGCCGCAGGGAUGAGGCUAAUUGGCUCCAGAUGGGACACGGUUUGCAGGUGUUGUCCCCACGUUGGGCGCCAGUUUACGGAUCGCCCCACAGCAAGUAUACCAUUUCUGGUUGAUGCUGAAAAAGUCAGACAGCAAAGAUCGGAUGCCUAAUCCGAUCAGAUCAAUAUGCGAAUCUGGGAAAGCCGUUCGCUCAAGAGAGUUCGAUUAGUGGGCUCCAGUAGGUGUGCAUUAGGUUGAUGAGUCAGAGAUUAUGUGUUCCCUCUUGCUUGUGUUUUCUCACACAGAACUGCUUGUAAGGUUGGUACUAUUGAUCGAGUGGGGCUAAUGUCUGGUAAAGUGUGGAUUUCAGGGCCAGGAUCAGAUGUAGGCCGACAGCACAGAGUCACAGAAACGACGCCUGCGCUGCAGUGUGUUUGGCCUCUGGUCUGUUGUACUUCACCCUUUUUGUUGUAAAGUGUCAU